rnacentral:rRNA from 1 species
CUUGAACGCUGGCGGCAGGCCUAACACAUGCAAGUCGAACGAGUGGCGGACGGGUGAGUAAUGUCUGGGAAACUGCCUGAUGGAGGGGGAUAACUACUGGAAACGGUUGCCAAUACCGCAUUCCUUCAGAUGUGCCCAGAUGGGAUUAGCUAGUUGGUGGGGUAACGGCUCACCACGGCGAGGAUCCCGAGCUGGUCUGAGAGGAUGACCAGCCACACUGGAACUGAGACACGGUCCAGAGUCCUACGGGAGGCAUCAGUGGGGAAUAUUGCACAAUGGGCGAAAGCCGGAUGCAGCCAUGCCGCGUGUAUGAAGAAGGCCUUCGGGUUGUAAAGUACUUUCAGCGGGGAGGCGUUACCCGCAGAAGAAGCACCGGCUAACUCCGUGCCAGCAGCCGCGGUAAUAC